rnacentral:lncRNA from 1 species
AGAAUUGUGUUGUCUUGUAAGAGCAGAAUUAUCGUCGAAGAAACAGCGGUUUCUCAACGAAAUCUCCACAAAAAUUUAAGAGAUUUGAGGAGGGAAUUGACAGUAAUAUCUUAGUUUAUAUGACAGAGAAAAUAUAGUAUCAAGAUCAAACAAACAGUGCUAUGCGGCUGAAAUUCUACAAUGUAUCUUUCGUUGUAGAGAUGAAAACUUUGUGACGAAAAGUUUAUGCAGUAAUAUAGGAACAAAUUUUUUUUUUUU